rnacentral:lncRNA from 1 species
CCAGCCUCCUCACCUCUCCCCUCUAGGCCUCCCCGACCACCCAAACGAGCUCGCGGAGCUCUCGUUGCCCUCCCAUGGCCGAAGCUUCGCCGCGGUGCUCCGCUCAAAUCCGGCCGACCCGAGCCACCCCUCCACUCCCUGAUCUUACCCUAGUAUUCCCCGUGCUCCUGCGAGUCUCCUCAACCCCAAGCCUUGCCGCCGGAGCAGCCACAUCGCCAUUCCCGCAUCUGCCCGAACCGCCGUCCGCCGGAGUUCAUGUCGUCGUCGCCUCAGUCCAUUCUGGAGCCCGUGACCUCCACCUUCGGGUGCGGCUCCUCCUGCUGAGCUCGCCCAUAGGUCGAGCGAGGCGAGGGAUGGCCGGAGCCGGCCGGACGAGCCCCCGCGCCGGCGACGUCCCUCUGCUCCGCGGGCGCGAGCGAGGUAGAUGAAGACGACGACCCCCCCUGCGAACUGGCCGCGGGCCCCGCGCGUCAGCCCCUCAGCCGUUGACCCGCCAGCCAUGUCAGAUAAGUGGAGACGAAUUUCCAGCUUUCCGUUUUCUCCUUCCAAAAGCGUAUUUCGCCUCUAUUUCAGCUAAAAUACGCUUCCCUUAUCUGAAAGCGUAUUAUGUAUCUGUUUCAGCAAGGAAUACGUUUUCCCUGAAGCCAAGGCGUAUUCUUUAAAGUACGCUUUCCGUUUUUCUGCCCAGGCCCAAUUUGUUAAGAUUUUUCUUACAGAUAGGCCCCUGACAGAGAAACAAGUGUAUCUUUUUACUCCUAGCUCCGAAUCAGGUGAAUCCAAAGCUCACUUCUUCGUUUCGUCGAGCCCGUUCUGAUGGAAUCAUUUUCAGCAUGUUUUGACAUUCUGAAAAUGACCAUUUUGCCCCUGCCUUAUUUAGCCCCCUCCGAGAGAGAACGUUUUCGACGAUCCUUUCCGCGAGCUUCUCGCACUUCUUUUCGGUGAUUUCUUCCACCCCAGGCAAGACACACCCUCCAUUUGCAUGAUUGCAAUGCAGUGACAUGGUUUCUUUAUUUAAACUUGUUUAAAAUAUUGUGUUAGCUAGGUAUGAUUUGUUCAUGGCAUUUCUCGGAGUAUUGUUUGAUCUUGAUAUUGCCAUGAUAUUGCUUGGAGUUCUAGGAUUAAUAUUUUGAUGAUUAUGUGGAUGACAUGUGCCUUCGGAUUCUUAGUGGUUAUUAUGAUUAUUUUUCAUGAUGGUAUCUGGUGAUAUUUUGGAGUAUUACUUUGGAUAUCAUGCUGCCUUUGGAUUAUUAGUGGUUAGUAUGAUUAUUUUUCAUGAUGCUAGUUGACGUUCUGUUGCUUGGAGUAUUAUUUUCGGAGAUGAUGUUUACAUGUGGAUCUUAGCCGAAUAGCUUUAUUCUUGUUAUUGGAGUAGUAGGAUUAUUGAUUUUCGGAUUCAUCAUGACAGUAGUGUUGUGCUACCCUUGGAGUAUUUUGAGAUGAGGAGAUUAUGCUUGGAUUAUUUGUUGGAUAUUGCUAUGACUUGGAUUAUAGGUUGAUAGAUGAUAUUGGAGUAUCAAUUACCACAGUUAUAUUUUUGGGGAUAAAUUCCGUCAUUAAGUUGGUCAAGUGCCACCGAACCGGGCUUUUCCAGUGCAACCACAUUUGCCUUUAUGGGAAGGCCCUAAUGCGGUCUAUUGUCAUGUCUCUCGCCGGUGCCUCCAACGAGGGAAGGUUAUGGGCGUGCGUACCCUGGCCCGGUAAGCAGACAUAACCUUGUGUGCCCGUUGUUGUUGUUAUGGAUCUGGUCCCCGUGAGGGACGUUUUGGCCACGACAGUGGUCGGUGUGUCUUUGGUAGACACGGGGCCACCCAGGACCAAACCCAGAAGGGAUGUUGGUCGGAGUGGCCGGGAGAGUGUCAUGGCAGUAGAUCGGUUUUGUCGGAACGCCGUUGGUCCACCCGAAUGGGAGUACGAGGUCAUGGGUUCUGUGGUGUGGGUACAAUGUGCUACCUCUGCAGAGUGUAUUAAUCUAUCGAUAGUCGUGUCCUCGGUCAUGGGCAUGGGUUCGUACUAGGUCCCACCAUUUGAUCAACACUCACAUGACGGAAUGACUUAUAGGUGAUUUAUAUGAUGAUAUAUUGUGAGCAGUAACAGUUUGGCAGGAUGUUGAUGAUGAUGUUGGAGACCAAGUGUUGGUCAUGGUUGUGAUCGCCGGAAAGAUCACAGUUUGAGACCAAGUGUUGGUUAUGGUAGUGAUCGCCGGAAAGAUCACCGUGUGGUUUUGAUCAUGAGUUGAUCGAGAUGGUAUAUUGCUUGGCCGGUUAGCUAAGAGAGAUAUGGUUAUGGAGAUCUGAGAUGGCGAUUUAUCAGCACCGUAUUAGUUUCAUCUCAUGCUUAGUAGUUGCUUCAUCAUGGUAGUUGUUAAUCAAUUAACCUGUUAAUGCUAUGUUAUUGUCUUGCCUUGAUGUUUAUGGUUUUUGUGAGCUUGCAAGUACAUUCAAUGUACUGACCUGGUGUGUCAUGCCAGAUUGCAGGUGAUGUCAUGAUUGCUUGAUUGCUUGUCGAGGUUGCCGUGCGUGCGAGCUAGAUCGUGUCCCAGCCAGAGUCCCUGCAGAGUGGAGUUCACCACCUUCGUCGUUGUUCCGCUGCUAGAAGUAUUCCGCUGCUACGAGUUGUUCCGCUGCUAGCAUAGAGCAAGUAUAGUAUCGCAGGCGUGGUGUCGCAGUGCUGAUGUGCUUCUUUGUAACAUCAGACCCUUCUAAUUUUUAUUCUUGUAAUAAGAGAUGAUUUGUUCUAUGUCAAGCAGUGCCGUAUUCCAGAGACUUCUCCUCGAUCUCUGGGCUGGAAUACGGGGCGUUCCGGUUUCUCUGAGCCGGGGUGCCACAUAGAGAGCAACAACGGUCAUGAAGAUGCAUUAUGCGUAAGUAACAUUGGAUACUAGCAUGAGUAGGAUAUGAACACAAUGAACAUAAAUAUCAUAGAGGCUAUGUUGGUUUUGAUUCAACUACAUGCAUGAACAUGUGCCAAGUCAAGCCACUCGAACAUUCUGAGGAGGAUACCAUAUCAUCAUACUACAUCACAAUCAUUUUAACGCAAUGUUGACAUCCAAGAUAAAUCAUUAUCCACACCUAGCUACUUAUGCAUGGCAUGAGAAACUAUAAUCUCUAAUGGUCAUUGCAAACAUGUUUAAUCAUAAUAGGCUGAAUCAUGGAUACUAGGUUAAACAUAUUUACAAAAACAGAACAAGUCGAGUUCAUACCCGUUUCUCUCUGCCACGACCAGUUCAUCAAAUAUCGUCAUUAUUGCCUUUCACUUGCACGACCGAAUGAUAUGAAAAUAAUAACAGUGCAAGAGUGCCAUGGACUAAGCUGAAAUCUGCAAACAUUUUAUUCAAAAGAAGAAGACAAGGUAAUAUGGGCUCUCUGUUAGAUCAAAAAUAAUGCAUAUGAGAGCCACUCAACAUUUUCAUCAUGGUCUUCUCCUCGGUACGACUCAAUAAAAAGAAAAGAUAUUAAGAGAAACACACUGAAAUAUUCUCGGAGUUUUUUGGUUUUCUGAAAAAAGGAACUGAAAAAGAAAAAAAAGAAAAACGAGAAAAACUAUUUACACGGGAAAGCUCCCAACAAGUAAAAGAAGAACAAGGAAAUCUUUUUGGGUUUUCUUCUUUAAUUACUACAACUAACUAUGCUAGAAAGGAAACCGAAAAGAAGCAAGCAACAUAUUUUUGGGUUUUCUCAAAGUUUAUAAAACACACAAGAAGAAAGCAAGAAAAUAAAUUAAACAUGGAUUAUACAAUGAAAAAGUGUGAACACCGACAACUGAAAUGUGUGAGCAUGAAUGUAAUGUUGGUGAGAAAUACGUACCCCCCCAAGCUUAGGCUUUUGGCCUAACUUGGUAAUCAGUCAGUAGCCUGCAUAGUGAUUGGAGUAAUAGCUCACGGAGGCUCUCGGUGCGGAUGCCUCAGCCUGUCUUGCGGCCACAACCGCCGCGUUAUGAGCUCGGGCCUCGCUCUCAAGAACAAAAUAUCUUCCCCUACUGUGAACAUCAAAGAGAGUAGGCGCAGGCAAAUAUGUGUGCACACCAGAAAUUUGAUUAAACAAAAACUUAUAGGUGAAAUUAUGGGGCUCACCUCUAGGGAUCUUAUGACGUUUCAUAGCAUGAAAGUCUAAAUACUGAGUGGGUAAAUGUUGGGGAACGUAGCAUGUGAUACGUCUCCGUCGUAUCUACUUUUCCAAACACUUUUGCCCUUGUUUUGGACUCUAACUUGCAUGAUUUGAAUGGAACUAACCCAGACUGACGCUAUUUUCAGCAGAAUUGACAUGGUGUUAUUUUUGUGCAGAAACAAAAGUUCUCGGAAUGACCUAAAAAUCAUCGGAGAAUUAUUUUGGGACAUAUAAAAAAUACUGGCGAAAGAAUCAAGGCCAGGGGGCCCACACCCUGUCCACGAGGGUGGGAGGCGCGCCUGCCCCCUGGGCGCGCCCCCUGCCUCGUGGGCCCCCCGGAGGUCCACCGACCUCAACUCCAACUCCAUAUAUUCGUGUUCGGGGAGAAAAAAUCAGAGAGAAGGAUUCAUCGCUUUAUUACGAUAUGGAGCCGCCGCCAAGCCCUAACUCUCUCGGGAGGGCUGAUCUGGAGUCCGUUCGAGGCUCCGGAGAGGGGAUUCCGUCGCCAUCGUCAUCAUCAACCAUCCUCCAUCACCAAUUUCAUGAUGCUCACCGCCGUGCGUGAGUAAUUCCAUCAUAGGCUUGCUGGACGGUGAUGGGUUGGAUGAGAUUUAUCAUGUAAUCGAGUUAGUUUUGUUAGGGUUUGAUACCUAGUAUCCACUAGGUUCUGAGAUUGAUGUUGCUAUGACUUUGCUAUGCUUAAUGCUUGUCACUAGGGCCCGAGUGCCAUGAUUUCAGAUCUGAACCUAUUAUGUUUUCAUGAAUAUAUGUGAGUUCUUGAUCCUAUCUUGCAAGUCCAUAGUCACCUACUAUGUGUUAUGAUCCGGCAAUCCCGAAGUGACAAUAAUCGGGACCACUCCCGGUGAUGACCGUAGUUUGAGGAGUUC